CUUUUUAUUGGCACAUAAAUUUUAGAAGCACGAGUAUCUAGAAUCUAGUCCACUUUAUUGUCUACUAGGUUUGCCUCCGCUACCACAGAAGCUAUCACUUCUUCAUUUUCUACUAAAUUUGCUUGAGGCGUAUGUGGAGCGACAUACAUCUGAACAUGAUUUUGUUGUCCCAUCUCAUGUAACAUUGAUAAGCUUUGUGACCUGUUUUGCCACAAACAUAGUCAUAUAUUCCUCUUUUGAAUCUUUUUAUUAUCCAUAUUAAAACCAGAAUGUUUAUUUCGUGUUUCGUUUUUCUCGGAAAAAAAUUGCUUUGCCUUUAUGCUUGCUUUUAUCGACAAGCUCAAC
rnacentral:lncRNA from 1 species